CCUACGGGAGGCAGCAGUAGGGAAUAUUGGGCAAUGGACGCAAGUCUGACCCAGCCACGCCGCGUGCAGGAAGACGGCCCUUUGGGUUGUAAAUUGCUUUUGASUGGGAAGAAAAGACUCCUUGCGAGGAGAGUUGACGGUACCAGCAGAAUAAGCCACGGCUAACUACGUGCCAGCAGCCGCGGUAAUASGUAGGUGGCGAGCGUUAUCCGGAUUUAUUGGGUUUAAAGGGUGCGUAGGCGGUUGAUUAAGUCAGCGGUGAAAGGUAGCAGYUUAACUGUUUUACAUGCCGUUGAUACUGGUUAGCUUGAGUUAACAGAAGGCAGAUAGAAUUUCUGGUGUAGCGGUGAAAUGCUUAGAUACCAGGAGGAAUACCGAUKGCGAAGGCAGUCUGCUGCAGUUACACUGACGMUGAGGCAMGAAAGUGCGGGGAUCAAACAGGAUUAGAUACCCUGGUAGUCCGCACAGUAAACGAUGAUUASUAGUUGUUGGCGAGAGUCAGUGACCAAGGAAACCGAUAAGUAUCCACC
rnacentral:rRNA from 1 species